UACGUAGGGGGCAAGCGUUGUCCGGAAUCAUUGGGCGUAAAGAGCGUGUAGGCGGUCCGCUAAGGCCGAUGUGAAAUCCCCGGGCUUAACCUGGGAACUGCAUUUGAAACUGGCGGGCUUGAGUGUGGCAGAGGGGGUGGAAUUCCGCGUGUAGCAGUGAAAUGCGUAGAGAUGCGGAGGAACACCGAUGGCGAAGGCAGCCCCCUGGGCCAACACUGGACGCUCAGGCACGAAAGCGUGGGAGCAACAGG
rnacentral:rRNA from 1 species